UCCUCCCCGGCGGCCUGGUCGUGGUCGGGCUGCUGCUGCUGCUGCUGCUGCUCCGCGCUGGCGGUCGGGCCAUGGCGGCGCUGCACGGGGCGGGUGCCAAGGCCGGCGCCCCGCCGCAGAUCCCGGACACCCGCCGCGAGCUGGCCGAGCUGGUCAAGCGCAAGCAGGAGCUGGCGGAGACGCUGGCCAACCUGGAGCGGCAGAUCUACGCCUUCGAGGGCAGCUACCUGGAGGACACGCAGAUGUACGGGAACAUCAUCCGCGGCUGGGACCGCUACCUGACCAACCAGAAAAACUCCAACAGCAAGAACGACCGUCGGAACCGGAAGUUCAAGGAGGCGGAGCGGCUCUUCAGCAAGUCCUCGGUCACCUCGGCGGCCGCAGUCAGCGCCCUGGCUGGAGUUCAGGACCAACUGAUUGAGAAGCGUGAGCCCGGCAGCGGCACUGAGAGUGACACGUCCCCGGAUUUCCACAACCAAGAGAACGAGCCAAGCCAGGAAGAGGUGGAAGAGCUGGAUGGGUCCGUUCAGGGGGUGAAGCCCCAGAAAGCGGCCUCUUCCGCCUCAGGGAGCCACCACAGUAGCCACAAAAAGCGGAAGAAUAAAAACCGGCACAGGUAUGUAUAUUAGGUUAGGCUGGCAAGUUUUUAAAAAUACAGACAAAAGCACAAUGGAGGAUUGAUCUCAAGUUGAACAAAAAACCACGAGCUGACUACUAGUGGUCCUCCAGGAUGAAUCUUCCAGGAACUUUCCUCCUUCCUUCCUUCCUUCCUCCCUUCCCAAGAGACUGAAUAAGCACAAGGCCAGCUCUUUCUUGCAGCAGCCGGCACACCAGCAGCACUGCUGGCGAAAACAGCUGCUGCCAAUUCAUCAUGCAUAAAAUCCACAAAGUCAAGUCCUCUCUACUUGCUGCCAUCUUCUGGUUGAAUUGUUUUGUCUUAUGUAUUUGGCUCUUUUUUUUUAAAAAAAAAUAAACUUUAUUUAAUUUUCCAUUUGUUAAAGAUUAAGACAGAUUGUCUGCUAGAAGCUUUUAUUCUUCAGAGCCCAAAUAGUCUUUUUUUUU